GACGAACGCUGGCGGCGUGCCUAAUACAUGCAAGUAGAACGCAGUUGCGCACGGGUGAGUAACGCGUAGGUAACUGCCUCAUAGCGGGGGAUAACUAUUGGAAACGAUAACUAAUACCGCAUACUGUGGGAUGGACCUGCGUUGUAUUAGCUAGUUGGGGAGGUAAAGGCUCACCAAGGCGACGAUACAUAGCCGACCUGAGAGGGUGAUCGGCCACACUGGGACAGUGACACAGCCCAGACUCCCACGGGAGGCAGCAGUAGGGGAUAUUCGGCAAUGUAGGGACGUCUGAGCGAGCAACGCGGCGGGAGUGAAGAAGGGUUUCGGAUGGUAAAGAUCUGUUGUGAGAGAAGACGUAAACAACCAGAAAGGGACGGCUAACCACGUGCCCGCCGCCGCGGUAAUUC
rnacentral:rRNA from 1 species